rnacentral:rRNA from 1 species
GAGGCAGCAGUGGGGAAUAUUGCACAAUGGGCGGAAGCCUGAUGCAGCGACGCCGCGUGAGGGAUGACGGCCUUCGGGUUGUAAACCUCUUUCAGUAGGGAAGAAGCGUAAUUGACGGUACCUGCAGAAGAAGCGCCGGCUAACUACGUGCCAGCAGCCGCGGUAAUACGUAGGGCGCAAGCGUUAUCCGGAAUUAUUGGGCGUAAAGAGCUCGUAGGCGGUUUGUCGCGUCUGCCGUGAAAGUCCGGGGCUCAACUCCGGAAUCUGCGGAGGGUACGGGCAGACUAGAGUGAUGUAGGGGAGACUGGAAUUCCUGGUGUAGCGGUGAAAUGCGCAGAUAUCAGGAGGAACACCGAUGGCGAAAGGCAGGUCUCUGGGCAUUAACUGACGCUGAGGAGCGAAAGCAUGGGGAGCGAACAGGGAUUAGAUACCCUGGUUAGUCCAUGCCGUAAACGUUGGGCACUACUGUGUGGGGGACAUUCCACGUUUUUCCGCGCCGUAGCUAACGACAUUAC